rnacentral:lncRNA from 1 species
CUGAAAUCUAUAUGCACUAUAGGGCUUUCAUAGUACUUUUCUGACCACGGUUUUCUGGAGUUUUUUCGUAUGGAGUUUGUAAGCUUCCUGACAUGGAUUAUAACUGUACUUGAUGGAGCACAGUUAUAAUAGCUGCUUUAGAGUCCUUGAUAAUUCCCACAUCUGAGUCAUCUCAAGUUAUUUUUGGCAGAUUUUGAUGGAUGUACAUUGAUGGAUAGCCACGUGGAUCCAGAAAAUAAAGACUUCUACUCUGCAUUUGACUAAAGCAGAAGAUAUGCAAGGAAGCUCAGUCUCUCAAUUGAGUGGAUUCUGAAAUUUAUCCUGUUGUCUUCAGCUACUAAGGCUAAUUUGCAAAUCACACUGUGCACGGAAACAACCUGUUCAGUGGCUGCUGAUUAACUCCCCAAGAUUGAUGUACUGAAGAAGGAUGACCUCCCCUUGACACCAAUGCUACUAGUCAAUAACGACCACUGUGACUCAGAACAAAUUCUCUGGGGGCAGGCAGUGAAGCUUCUUCUCUUGUUGACCUUACCAGACCACAAGGCUGAAAAUAUUCUGUGGCCUGAUGCCCUUAAAUUGAUCAUAUUAAUACAAUCAAGCAGAAAAGAAAUUAAUUUUCCCUCUCUCUCUCUGUCUAUAUAUAUACUUACUACUAUAUAUAUGUGUGUAUAUAUAUGCUAUAUAUGUGUGUGUAUAUAUAUAGCAGUACAUAUAGAUAUAAUUAGUAUAUAUAGAAGUAGUAAAUAUAUAAAAAUAUAUUUGUAUUCCUCUUCAGCUCCAUACUUGAGAUUAAAAAGUAUCCUUUAAGAGUUCAUACAUCUAGACCUCUCUUCUGAAAAGAAUAAUAAUCUCCUGUUUAUCUAUGCACUUAUUUGCUAAAUAAAGAAGAAUAUUGAGCACCCAAAAUAUGUCUGAUAUUAUUGUAGACACUGUGAUAUUGGAGGAAAACAAAGAAACAAAGAUACAAACAUACUUACCUUCAUGGAGAUUUAGAUUUCCUGAGUGUUUUUUGCUACAACACUGCAAUUGCUGUCUGCAUUGAACACUUAGAACAGGGUCAUACAGGUGGUACCUUAUAUCAAGCUGAUGAGUUUCCAUAAGUGCCAAGCAAAGGGACAGAAUGUCAGGGUUAGAGUCCCUGGGAAAUAAUCUAGAAAACUCUAUUAGAAAUAAACGCUGCCCCUCUAUGGACCUAUAACUCUCAUAAAGUUUAACAUUUACAUGGGAGACACUAGCACUCUCCAAGCCUAAAAUACCUUUCACUGGAAAUGAGUGUUAAACAAAAUCCAAAGUAAUGAUACAUUAAUCAAUUUAAGUAAAUAAGAAAGGUAUAUUUUAUUACUAUGGAUAAUAUGGUAAAUGAUAUAUAUUUAAUUUUAUUUUCCAGUCAUUCAUUUUUAUCAUAUAGAAAGGCAAUUCAUUUUUAUAUUGACUUUGUAUCCUGCAAUAUUGUUAAUUUAGUCUAGUAAGUUUUUAAAAGGCAUUUCUUAGAAUUUCCGACACAUGCAAUUAUGUUACAAGUAAAAUAGUUUGCCUUAUUCAUUUUAAUCUGUAUUCAUUUUCUUUUCUUUUCUUGCCUAUGGUACUGGCUACGACCUCAAGUAUCAACUGGUGUUAACAAACAUCCCUGCCUUUUUCCAGUCUCUUAUUAUUUCACUGUUAAGUAGUCUGUUAGCUGUAGGUAUCGAUAGAUUCCCUCUAUGAAAAUGAAUACAUUUUCUUCUACCCUAGUGUGUUAAGAACUUUUAUUACUCAUAAGUACCAAAUUUUGUUGAAUAAUUGUUUUGCCUCCACUGACAUAGUCAUAGGGUUAUAUUUGCAUUUCCUUGGUAACUAAUGAUGUUGAGUAACUUUUCAUGUGCUUAUUGUCCAUAUAGAUAUUUUUUGUGACGUGUCUGUUCAAGAUGAUUACCCUUUUUCAUUUAACUGUUUGUUUUGAUAUUACUGAAUUGUAAAUGUUUUUUAUAUAUUCUACAUAUAAGCCUUUUUAUGAUGUAUAUUUGUAAAUAACUUCUCUCAAUCAUGACUUGUCCUUUCAUUUUUAUUAGCUGUUUUAAGAAAAAGUUUUUAAUUUUGGUAAAAUUUACCUUUUUUUUUUUUUUUCCAGACGGCGUCUCGCUGUGUUACCCAGGCUGGAGUGCAGUGGCGCGAUCUCAGCUCACUGCAACCUCACCUCCCGGGUUCAAGUGAUUCCUCUGCCUCAGCCUCCGGAGUAGCUGGGACUACAGGUGCGUGCCACCAUGCCUGGCUCAUUUUUUUUGUAUUUUAGUAGAGACGGGGUUUCACCAUGUUGGCCAGGAUGGCCUCGAUUUCCUGACCUUGUGAUCCGCCCGCCUCGGCCUUCCAAAGCGCUGGGAUUACAGUCAUGAGCCACCGUGCCCGGCCAAAUGUAUCUAUUUUUUAAUAGUUUGUACUUGUUGUUCUCUAUUUAAGAAAUGUUGUUUGCCUAUCUGAAAACCAAAAAAACAAACAAACAAACAAAAAAAAAACAAACUCACCUUGAAUUGUAAUAAUCCCCAGGUGUCAAAGGCAGGGCCAGGUGGAGAUAAUUGAAUCAUAGAAGCGGUUUCCCCAAUACUGUUCUCGUGGUAGUGAAUAAGUCUCACGAGAUCUGAUAAUUUUAUAAAUGGGAGUUCCCCUGCAUAAGCUCUCUUGCCUGCCGCAAAGUAAGACAGGUAUUUGCCUCUUCUUUGCCUUCCGCCGUGAUUGUGAGGCCUCCCCAGCCAUGUGGAACUGUGAGUUCAUUAAAACUCUUUUCUUUAUAAAUUACCAGUCUCGUGUGUGUCCUUAUAGCAGUGUGAGAAUGAAGAAAUACAUUUUUUUCAUAUUUCACAUAUAAUUUAACAAUUUUAGUUAGUAUAGAUGAAUAAUUUAUCUUGAGGUUUUUUAAAUGCAUGACUUAAGGAAAAGGUUGACAUUUAUCCUUCCUCCCAAAGAGGAUAUGCAGUUAUCCCAACACCGCUUGUUGAAAAAGCUUCUUUUAUCUUGUAAAUUGUCUUCACCACUUUGCCAAUAAUUAAUAGACCAUGUAAAUGUAGAUCUAUUUCUGGAUUUUAUUUUUUUCCAUUUCCCUACUGGGCCAAUGCCUUGUCUGGAUUUGAUUGUCUUGAUGACUACACUUUGAAAUGUCUUCUAAAUUGUCCUGCUUUUCAAAGAUUCUUCUGACUUUUCUAAAUAAUUUGCUAAUAUGUAAAUUUUAAAAUCAGCUUCUCAACCUCUCACAAAAAAGCCUACUAGAAUUUUAAUUGGGAUUGAAUUCCAUCUACAAGUCAAUUUGGACAGAACGGCCAUUUUCAACAAUAAUGAAUUUUUCAGUUCCCAAACAUGAUGUAUUUACUCCAUUUACUUUUUUUCUAUUUCUCUUUGCAAUGUUUUCUAGUUUUCCAUUUACCAAUUUUAUACAUUUGUUGUUUAUUCCUAGUAUAUUUUUCUAGAUACUAAUAAUAAACUUUUUUUUAUCAUUAGACUUCAGUGAAACUUUGUUUUUGAAUGCUAAUAUUAUAUCUGAAAAUCUUUGUACAUUCAUAUAUAAGAGCUGGUGGUUUUUGUGUAGAUUUCUUAGGAUUUUUCUAUAUAAACAGUUAUACAGUCUGAAUAAAACAGUUUUGUUUCUUUUGUUUCAAUUGUUUGAUAUGACAUUUCUUUUUCUUCUUCUAUUUUCUUCCUUUUCUUUUUCUUUUUUUUUUUUUCUUUGAGAUGGAGUAGUCUGUUUCUGUUGACCAGGCUGGAGUGCAGUGGUGCAAUCUCGGCUCACUGCCACCUCUGCCUCCUGGGCUCCCAGGUUCAAACGAUUCUCCUGCCUCAUCCUCCCAAGUAGCUGGGAUUACAGGUGUGUGCCAUCAUACCCGGCUAAUUUUUGUAUUUUUGGUGGAGACAGGGUUUCACCUUGUUGGCCAGGCUGGUCUCGAACUCCUGACCUCAGGUGAUCUGUCUGCCUCAGCCUCCCAAAGUGCUAGGAUUGUUGUACCCGGCGAGUUAAGAAGACACCACACUUUGAGACGAAUUAAGAGUCCUUUAUUAAGCCAGUGGCCAAAUAGACGGCUAAUGCUCAAAAUUCUCUCGGCCACGAGGAAAGGGCUCGAUUAACUUUUAUACCUAGGUUUAGGAAGGGGAGGGGGACUCAAACGUAAUAAUUCUACAGAAGUAAAAACAUGCAAGAAUCAAAAGAAUCAAAAUGGUUACAGAGUGAUAAUUUAAAAGACAAAUGGUUACAAGAAGAGCAAGGGUGCCACGUGCAAGGUUCUAAAUCUUUUAUUAUAAUUAGAUAUAGGGUCUAUGCCGGACAGGAACUCAAGGUUUUAUGUUGUUAUCUCUUGGAGAAAAUUCCUGGGAACUUAAUACGUUGUUGGUGUUGGUACCUUAUCAGUUAAUUGGGCUCCUUUGAAAUGCUGAGGAUCUGUUUACCCAGGCCAACUCCUCACAAAAGGGGUUUGGGUGAGGAGCCCUAGUGUCUUGUAAAUUAAGGGGUCAGUUGGAGUUUGUCCGGCUUUCCUAGCUAGAGAGAGUCUUAUUUACAUGAGAAGCAAGGCUAGGUGAUUAAAGAGACAGGCAGGACAAAAUUCAAAGUAACCAGUUAAAGUAAAAACACGGUUAGGCAUUUCAGGAUUACAAGCGUGAGCCACCACGCCCAGCCAACAUUUCUUUUUUACCUUGCUUUAUUGCACUGGCUAAGAAUUAUGAUUAAAUGCUGAAUGAAAAUAGAACAAACAUUUUUGCAUUUUUUCCCUGACUUGCAGGAUUCAGAUUUUAACACUAAGUAUGAUUAUAUAACGGUUUUAUAUUAUAGAUGCCCUUAUCCACUGAUAAAUUAAAGUUUUCUUCAAUUAUUAGUAUGCUGAGGUUUUUGUCAUGAAUAGAUUUUGAAUUACAUCAAAUAUUUCUUGGGCAUUCAUUUACAUAUCACUUUAUUAAUAUGGUUAAAUAUGGUAAUUAAUUUUCUAAAGUUAAUAGAAUAUUUUCAAUAUUUGAAAUACACCAUAUUUGGUCAUGAUGCAUUAUCUUUUUAAAGUAACUGCUGCAAUUCAUUUGUUAACAUUUUAUAAGGAUUUUUUAAAAAUCUGUUUUCAUUUCUGUUGUCUUUGUUUGACAUUGGUAUCAGAGUAAUGCUGACCUAACAAAAUGAAUUGGAAGAUGUUUCCUCUAACUAUAUUUCCUAAAAUCCUUUUGAGGCUGGUAUUAUUUGUUUAUUAAAUAUUUGAUAGAGUUUAUCAGUGAAACAAUCUGGGCCAGGACUUUUGUUUCCUAGUUGUUAGGAGAUUUUUAUUACAAUUUAAUUUAUUUAAAUGGCAUAGAUAUUUAGAUUUCUAUUUGUUAUCUCCUUUUGAGUCAGUUUUGGCACUGUGUAUCUUUCCAGAAUUUUUCUGUUUCAUGUAGAUUCUCAAAUGUUUUGGUAUAAUUUAUUCAUAAUAUUCUCAUAUUAUCCAGUCUUUUUCAUGAUCCUGUAUUUUAAGAUUUAACCCGCUGGAUCUGUCAUGACAUUCUGUUGCAUUACUUAUAUUGGUAAUUUGUAUUUUAGAUUUUGUAUUUUAUCAGCCUAGUUACAGGCCAAUUAAUUAUAUUGAUCUUUACUAAUAUUUAAUUGCAUUAACAUUCUCUAUUUUUUAUUAUAUUCCUUUUUUUUUACUUUGGUUUAAUUUGCGUUGUUGUUUCUUGAGGUGGGAACUUCUAUCAUUAGAUUAUUGAUUUUUAGAACUUUCUUCUUUAAACAUGCAUCUUUAUAAAUUUCACUUUAAUCAUUCAUAUUUUCUUAUUCAUAUUGUUAUAAAAAUGUUUUUAUUUUUCUUAUGAUUUCUGUUUUGACUCAUGAAUUAUCUAGAAUUAUGUUGUUAAUUUUCAAAUAAUUGGAGUUUUCCUAGUUGUCUUACUGCAAUUGGUGUCAAUUUUAAUUCUACUAUGUUCGGAGAACACCAUAUUUGAUUUUAAUCUUUUCUAGUUUAUUAUUUUUUUAUGGGCCACAAUAUGGUCUAACUUAGAAAAUAGUCCAUGUGUAUCCACAAAGAACAAGUAUGUUACAAGUUUUGGAUGUAUUCUUCUACACGUAUCAAUUAAGUAAAGGUGGUGGUUGUGUCUUUCAGACCUAUGCCUCUUCUAAUUAUUUCUCUAGUUGCGUUAUCAUUUGCUUAGAAAAUAUGUUGAAUUAGUUUUGUAUUGAUGCUGUCAAAAAUUAUCACAUAUUUAGUGGCUUAAAAACAAUUCCUAUUUACUAACUAACAGCUCUGUAGUUCCUCAGUCCAAGUAAAGCAUGGCUCAGCUAUUUCUGUUCUCUGGGUUUCACAGGCCCCAGGAAAGUGUCAGCAGGGCUGUGCUCCUUUCUGGGUGUUCUUAGUAUGAAUCUGCUUCCAAUCUCAGUUAGGUUCUUCGAAGAAUUCAUUUUCAUGCUGUUGCAGAAAUGAGUUCCCCAUUUGCUUGCUGGCUACUGGUGAGAAGUUGCUUUUAGCCAUUCAUUAGUUCAGGAUUUCCUUCCUCCAUCUCAGAAUCCAGUAAUAACAGUUUGUGUUUUCUUCAUGCUUCAAAUCUUUCUGACCUCCCUUGGGCUUCAUCCCCAUCUCCUACUUACUUUCUUUCU